GUCAAAAAAGGAAAAGGUUUUCCUUUUCUUCCGGAAAAACGAACCCGACCUCUCCGGACUCUCAAAGGAUUUUGGGUUUUAUUGACGCUUUGCACGGAACAGCGCUGCCCAUACGGUGCUUGGAGCAGGCCGCAGGCUUCGCUUCCCCGGUUCUAUGAACAGGCCUCUUGCUUAACAGCACUAGGCCUCAGGCUCCACUUCCACAGCAACGUGAGCAGGCCGCAGCUCUCUGCCGCCAUUCU
rnacentral:lncRNA from 1 species